rnacentral:lncRNA from 1 species
CUGCUGCUGUGCGUCCUGCUCCUCCUCGUCCUCUUCGCACUGCUGGAGAAUCAGCUCAAUCUCAUCCGCCACUGCACUGUGGUUGCCCUGCAAACCCGCGUUGCCAUGGAUGUAAACAAUCUUCUCCGCCCGCUCAAUGGCCAGCCGAUUGCGUGCUUUUGUGUAAACCAGGCCCCAUGUGGAUCAGUUGCACUAGGACGAGCAGGUUGAUGUGUGCAUCAGCAGCAAGUGAAUGGCUGCAGAUGCAAUCCGCGGGAAUUGUGAGGCGAGGUGCACUUCCCAGUAGCUGAUACAGUCAUCCAGUGACGCCCCCAUCGCACGGAUGCUGCCAUCAGGCAACAAUUUCUCCUUGC